rnacentral:lncRNA from 1 species
AGAUGUUCCCAGGACGCGAGCUAAGUCUGCCCGGCCGGCGCGCGCCGCUUCCGCUUUGGUGGGAAGGACCUCCCUUCCCCCUUAUAGAAACACUUUCUCCAGGCCGGGCCGGGCUUGGUAAACCUCAGCCGUGCCUGGGUAGAGGACGCCGGGCUGGGCCGAGCGGGGGUGGAAUGAGGGCGUCUAGAACAGAGAAAACUAAGAUGGGGUCGUCCCCCCAGUAAUCUGGAAAACAGUUACAGCAACAGGCUCCUCUCAUCAGACGGCAGUGCUGGUCGUUUCCUCACUGGUUUGCGGGGAAGGCUGGGCAGAAAAAGGAUGCAACCUUGUUCUCAACCACUUGCUAUCUCGAUAGGGUCUUGCUGUGUCACCCAGAUUGGAGUGCAGUGGUGUGAUCACAGCUCACUGCAGCCUUGACCUCUAGGCUCAAGUGAGCCCCUACCAAGCAGCUGGGACUACAAGUGCGCACCACCAUACCCAGCUAAUUUUUUCAUUUUUUGUAGAGACAGGGUCUCACUGUAUUGCUCAGGCUGGUCUUGAACUCCUGAGAUCAAGCGAUCCUCCCACUGUGGCCUCCCAAAGUGCUGGGAUUAUAGAUGUGAGCUACCAUGCCUGGCCUCAAAACAUUUUUGUAAUCUGGCUGUUUUCCAGUUGGAUGGACUCUGAGUGCAAUCUCAAUGUCUUUCCUGAUCAGUAAGAGGAAGAAAGGAGCUGUUGUAUAAUCUUUGGUCCACUUGCUAUAUAGGAAUAGAUCUUUACUGCUACAUAUACAUAAUUCUGUACGGAACAGUCAUGUUCCUUGGAUUCUGACAGCAUCGCCAAUAUGUGCUUUGAAACCUCCUACCUGGCACAGAUAUGAUGAAUCUACUCAUAUCCUUGAACCUCUUUUUCAUCACUUUUCAUCAUUCAAACAUUUUUAUUGAAUCUAUAUGCUAAGCUCUGUAUAUAAAGUAUUAGAUAACUUGUACAGAGUUCAUGUGGGGUAUGAUAAACAAUGAGACUGGAAAGGUAAGCAGUGGGUAGAUCAUCCUUUAUCCUAAGAGCAGUGUAGCCUUUGAAUGGUUUUAAGCAGGAGAGUAGCAUAAUCAGAUUUGCAUUUUAGAUCCAUGUGGUUGCAGUGAGGAGGAUAGAGAGAGCAAGACUGAAGUCAGGGGGGCCAGGCAAGGUUUUUGUAGUACCUGAGGAGAAAAACGAGAAAUGAUGUGGUCUGGACUAGGAAAGUGAUAGUGGUGAUGGAGAGGACGUAGAAAUGCCCAGGGGGCAUCCAAGUAGAAACAUCUCUCCAACUCGUCAGAACUUCCCAACUGUGUGCCUCAGGAAGAGUUUACGGUGGUGCUGCAUAAUGGGCUUCACAAUUCUCAGGGCAGCACAAGCUUCCUGAGUCAGAGAGCAAUCUUGGUUAUGCCAGAUUGCAUCAUCCAGCAUAUAAAACACCAUCAUUUACUAUGUGUGUACUGACAUGGAAAAGGUUGGGAAGCACUGAUGUAGGCUGUGGGAUAAAUAAUUCUGAAGCUCAGGAGAGGAAUCAGGAUGAUAGAUAAGAGAUUUGUGAGUCCUCAGAACGUUGGUGGUUACUGAAGUCAUGGAGUUGAGGAGAUCAUGCAAGGAGAGAAAAGAAAGGCAGGAACAGAACCCCAAGGAACAUCAACAUUAGAGGGGGGUCUCCAGAGAGGGAGAAAGAAAACUGAAUGAAUGCUGUCACCAGAACCCAAGAAAGGGAUUUCCAAAAAAAAAGACCAAAUACAGUCGGUCCUUCUUAUUGGUGGCUUCCACAUCCAUGCACUCAAUCAAUCUCAGAUCAGAAAAAAUAAAAGAAUAAAAACUACAUCUCUCUGAAGACUAGAUCAGAAAAAAAAAUAACUACAGCAAUAAAAAUACAAAAUUUUAAAAAUUUAGUGUUAACUAUUUACAUAGUAUUUACAUGAUAUUACAUAUUAUAAGUAAUCUAGAGAUGAUUUAAAGUAUAUAGGAGAAUACCCCUAGGUCAUUUGCAAAUACUAUACUAUUUUAUGUAAGGGACUUAAGCAUCCUUUGAUUUUUGUAUCCUUGUGGGUCCUGGAACCAAUUCCCCAUGAAUAGGAAGGGAUGAUUUUUUGGCCCCGAUGUUGCUGAGUCAAGUUGGAUCAGGACAGAGACAUCCCCACUGACUCUGGCCACAUGUCAUUGGAGACUUUGAUAAAACCAGACUUUAUUUGUUUAUUUAAAAUAGAGAUGGGGUCUCACUCCAUUGCCCAGGCUGUUCUCGAACUCCUGGGCUCAAGCAGUCCUCCCCUCUUGGCCUUCCAAAGUGUUAGGAUUACAGGCGUGAGCCACCACGCCUGACCUGGCAAAACCAGAUUCUGAAGGAUUGAGAAAAAUUUACAAAGUAAGGAAUGGAGACAGGAGAUGUUUAAAACUUUUUGGCUGGGCGCGGUGUCCCAUGCCUGUAAUUCCAGCACUUUGGGAGGACGAGGUGGGUGGAUCACCUGAGGUCAGGAAUUCAAGACCGGCCUGGCCUACAUGUGAAACCCCGUCUCUACUAAAAAUACAAAAAUUAGCUGUGUGCGGUGGCAUGUGCCUGUAAUCCCAGCUACUCAGGAGGCUGAGGCAGGAGAAUCGCUUGAGCCUGGGAGGUGGAGGUUGCAGUGAGCCAAUUGCGCCAUUGCACUCCAGCCUGGGUGAUAGAGUGAGACUCUGUCUCAAAAACAAAACAAAAACACAAACAACAACAAAAAAACUUUUCUAAGAUUUUGGCUAUGCUGUGAGGGAAAAAUUAGGCAGAUAGAUGGGUGGUACAGUAAGAGUUAUUUUAGAAAACACUGGCUAAUUUUAAAAAUUAUUCAUUUAAGAUUAGUUUUUAUAAAAUGUAAUAUGUCCAUAUGGUUUAAUAAUCAAAUAAUGCAGAAGCAAUUAUUUGCUGCAUUCCUUACCUCCAGCAAUGAGCCAUUUUAACUUUUUGGCUGAUUCUUCUAUAUGGCUAAAUAUGCUUAUACUGCCAUUCCUUUUUUUUUUUUUUUUUUUUUUUUAAGAUAGAGUCUCACUCUGCUGUCCAGGCUGGAGUGCAAUGGCACAAUCUCGGCUCACUGCAACCUCUGCUUUCCAGGCUCAAGCAAUCCUCCCACUUCGGCCUCCCGAGUAGCUAGGACUAUAGGCACACGCCACCAUGUUCCGCUAAUUUUAAAAUUUUUUUUGUAGAGAUGAAGUCUUAUUGUCUUACCCAGGCUGGUCUGUAACUCCUGGGCUCAAGUGAUUCUCCUGCCUUGGCCUCUCAGUGUUGAGAUUACAGACAUGAGCCACUGCACCCGACCUGAGGACCUCAUUUUUAUGGGCACUAAUUGCACAUCCUUUUUGUUUUUGUUUUUGUUUUUUUUUUUUUGAGACGGAGUCUCGCCCUGUCGCCCAGGCUGGAAUGCAGUCGUGUGAUCUCAGCUCACUGCAACCUCCACCUCCCGGGUUCAAGCGAUUCUCCUGCCCCAGCCUCCCAAGUAGCUGGGAUUACAGGCGCGUGCCACUACGCCCAGCUAAUUUUUGUAUUUUUAGUAGAGAC